GGGAGUUGACUAGGGAAAACUUCAUAUUCUUGUGGUGGAUAUGCCCCUAGGAUUGGUGAUGCUCAGAUAUCUAUUUCUCAGAGGCUGCAACUAUUAGGUAGAUGAAAGUAUACAUGAACAAAGUUUCAGAGGUUUUGAUGCUUUCAACUUGAGGAUCAGCAGUUAUCAAGGCUCAAGCAAAUUGCCAUAAAACACACUAUGGCUUGAAGUAUUGCUUCAGACAUAAAGACCAUGGCGAGUCGUCGGGUUGACCAAUUCGAUGAUCACAUGGAAGAAGAAGCAUAGGUAGAAGAAGAAGAAGAAGAAGAAGAAGAAGAAGAAGAAGAAGAAGAAUUAGAGGGGGAUUUGGCAGAGUUUGUUGAUGGGGAAUACUACUAUGGUGGAGGUGAUGGUGAAGAAAUGGGCUUUGAUGAUUAUAAAAUGGUUUGUUUUCUUUAAUGCUUA